rnacentral:rRNA from 1 species
UGGGGAAUUUUGGACAAUGGGCGCAAGCCUGAUCCAGCCAUGCCGCGUGCGGGAAGAAGGUCUUCGGGUUGUAAACCGCUUUUGUCAGGGAAGAAAUCUUCUGAGUUAAUACCUCGGGAGGAUGACGGUACCUGAAGAAUAAGCACCGGCUAACUACGUGCCAGCAGCCGCGGUAAUACGUAGGGUGCAAGCGUUAAUCGGAAUUACUGGGCGUAAAGCGUGCGCAGGCGGUUUUGUAAGACAGAGGUGAAAUCCCCGGGCUCAACCUGGGAACUGCCUUUGUGACUGCAAGGCUUGAGUGCGGCAGAGGGGGAUGGAAUUCCGCGUGUAGCAGUGAAAUGCGUAGAUAUGCGGAGGAACACCGAUGGCGAAGGCAAUCCCCUGGGCCUGCACUGACGCUCAUGCACGAAAGCGUGGGGAGCAAACAGGAUUAGAUACCCUGGUAGUCCACGCCCUAAACGAUGUCAACUGGUUGUUGGGAAGGUUCCUUCUCAGUAACGUAGCUAACGCGUGAAGUUGACCGCCUGGGGAGUACGGCCGCAA